rnacentral:rRNA from 1 species
GAGGAAUAUUGGUCAAUGGGCGAGAGCCUGAACCAGCCAUCCCGCGUGAAGGAAGAAUGCGCUAUGCGUUGUAAACUUCUUUUUCAGGGGGAUAAAAUUCUGUAUGAAUACGGAACUGAAGGUACCCUGAGAAUAAGCAUCGGCUAACUCCGUGCCAGCAGCCGCGGUAAUACGGAGGAUGCGAGCGUUAUCCGGAUUUAUUGGGUUUAAAGGGUGCGUAGGCGGAAUAAUAAGUCAGUGGUGAAAACCUGCAGCUUAACUGUAGACUUGCCGUUGAUACUGUUUUUCUUGAGUAUGGUCAAGGCAGGCGGAAUGUGUAAUGUAGCGGUGAAAUGCUUAGAUAUUACACAGAACACCGAUAGCGAAGGCAGCUUGCUGGGCCGUUACUGACGCUGAUGCACGAAAGCGUGGGGAUCGAACAG